rnacentral:lncRNA from 1 species
CUUGCAUCAAAUGCAAAAUAAAGAAAGACGCGUAAAAUUGACCAUGGCUCCCAGUGAAAUUGAGCAGAGAUUGUUGGGCGUUCACCACCUUGACAAGGACAGAGAGCCAGUUAAGAUAAGUGUUACGAGUGAAGCAUGUGAAAAUGAAGAGCAGAACCGUACUGAAACAAAUAGAGAUGCAACAGAAUUUGAAAGACAAAGAAUCAAGCUC